GGUGUUUUCGUGGAGCACGUCCUGAACGUGUUCAGAGGAAGAACGCUUGCGCAUUAGAAUUUUGGCUGUUCGCGGUGAUGAAAAAUCCUCCUCUGAAUAAAAAGUUCUCUGUUCGCGGAGCGCAACAACUUGUCCUGAACGUAUUCGGAAUGCGUUCAACAAGUUCUGGGAUUAAAGAGAGGAUUUAUUGUCCGCACAUGUGCAGAAGUUGAUUUGACGAAUUUAUUUAUUUUGUUAAGAGAUUCGAGAUUGUAUUUCUAACCUAACAAGUUUAAAAUUUUGAAUUGUUGUGUUAUCAUACAAAUGUUGUAAAAGAUGAUGAACCUCAGUUCAAGUGAUGAAGAUUUGGAAGAGAUUGUAGGACUUUUAAAUGUUCCAAAAAAUGCAAAUUUUUUGAGGAAACUGUGCAACAAUUUAUUAACCAACAAUUUAUACAGAAUUUUAGAUUAAGUAGAGACUUAGCUGUAGAUUUGGCAAAUAAGUAUGAAAGAUCUCAUUUCCACAAUAUUAUGUAAAAUUACUUUUCCUGUUUUGGAGUGUUGUUUGUCCUAGCGUAGAUAAAGAUAAAAGAAUAAGGUUAGGCAAUUGGCAUAGGCAACCCAAAAAACAUCCGGAAAUUGUUCGUGCAGAAACUAUGGAGACCUACACAGAGAAGAGGAAUCGAGAUAGGACGACCUUGAAAUUUUUGUACACAAUUUUGCCUGUUUGCUUGGUUUCUCGCUAGGGCGGCGGUGGCGUAGAAAUAGAUGCUACUUUUGCAUUGGAGUGAAUGUGAAAAUUUCGAAAAUAAUUAAUUAUUCGUAGUUAAUAUAAGAUUAUUGGUUUUGGUGAUUAAUAUUACUUAAAUAUGAGUGCCAAGAAAGCUUACACUAAAAGAACUUGCUUCGUACCGGGAUUUAUAUCGAGUUAUCGUUCCGAUAAAAAAUUCAAAAGGGAACUUAACGAAGUUAAUAAAGACUUUUUAUAAAGA